GAAAACCCUCGUGCCUUCCCUUUGCCCGAACCCUCCUACCUCUUCCCGUUUGCUCUCGUACGAUGGCGGCAAUCGCCACCAAGCUCAAGGCGCCGUGGUCUCGCCUCCUCUCCCUACGCUUACUUCCUUGUUCCCGCCCUAUCUACCGCCCGUAUUCCCCUUCGAUUCCUCAUCCCUUCACUGCCAACGCUGUACCCUCCACUCUGCUUUCCGUCCGCCGCUUCUCCGUGAACGCCAUUAAUGCCGACCGCGUCGUGCAAGAACUUCUGGCUGAGGUAGAGCGGGAGAAGCAGCGUGAACGGGAGGAGAGACAGAAAGCCGGCCUCCCACUCGACGAAGAAGAGGAGGACUAUAUGGGGGUGGGCCCGCUCAUCGAGAAGAUGGAAAAGAACAAGCAGAAGGAGCUCGAUGCCAUAGAUCAGUUCUGGGAGCCCACUGACUCGGAGAGCGAAGAUGAUGAGAGGUUCUCGCCUGAAGAGACCCAAAAGCGGUUGGAUGAGUUUGAGAAUAAGUGUAAACGGCAUUCUGAAUUGCUCAAGAACUUUGCCGAAGCAGAAACACUUGAUGAUGCACACAAAUGGAUGACUAAAAUUAACAAAUUCGAGCAGCGCCAUUUGAAACUACCCCUUGAGUAUAGAGUCAUUGGCGAUUUGAUGAAUCGUCUAAAGGAAACAACUGGAAAAGAAAGAUUCAUUCUCCUCCAAAAGUUAAAUCGAGCUAUUAGGAUGAUGGAAGUUAAGGAGGCAUAUGAUCCAAAUAAUCCUGCAAACUUUGGAGUUAUUCAACGUGAGCAAGUUGGUUCUCCUGAUGAGGUAGUAGACAAUGUUGGUUUCGAGAAGGAGAAAACAAUGAUACAAGGGGCAGACCUUGAGGAAGAUGAUGAAGAUUUCAGUGAAUCAAAGGAGAAAGAUGAUAUAUUUACCGAGAAGCUCAAUGCCAUUGAAAAGAAACUCGAAGAGAAGCUUGAAGAACUUGAUCAUACUUUUGGGAAGAAGGGCCGAGUAUUGGAAGAGGAAAUCAAAGAUCUGGUCGAGGAGAGAAAUUAUUUGACUGAGAGAAAGAGGAAACCUCUUUACAGGAAAGGAUUUGAUGUAAAGGUAAUCAAUGUUAAUCAGACAUGCAAAGUUACUAAGGCAGGGCGACUGAUGAAGUACACAGCACUGCUAGCCACUGGGAAUUACCAUGGAGUUAUUGGAUUUGCAAAAGCAAAAGGUCCAACAGCUACUAUUGCUAUCCAAAAGGCAUAUGAGAAAUGCUUCCAAAAUCUUCAUUAUGUCGAGCGCUACGAAGAUCACACCAUUGCUCAUGCUAUCCAAGCAAAAUACAAAAAAACAAAGUUAUACCUCUGGCCUGCUCCAAUGAAAAGUGGAAUGUCAGCCGCAGUCAAAAGUGUCGAAACUGUCCUCUGUUUGGCUGGGUUUUGCAAUGUCAAGACAAAGAUUAUUGGCUCGAGGAACCCCCUCAACGUAAUCAAGGUUCUUUUCAUAGCACUGAACGCUAUUGAAACUCCCAAGGAUAUCCAGGAGAAGUUCGGAAGAACUGUCGUAGAGACGUAUCUGCUGUAGAACUACCACGGCUAAGUUUCGGUGAACAAACUAUGCUGCCCUCAAAUUUUUGUGGCGCGCAAAUUUUUUUUAUUUUAAUCAUUCUCUGUUUGAACUGAAUAAACAUUGAAAAUUGUCACGCAGAAUAUAAAAGGUUAACUAGCCAAAGUGAACCACAAGUUAUUUUUGUGUAAGUCAUGAUCAAGAGAGCCAGCAACAUCUGAAGCCAAAUCCUCGCCGACGGCCGGAGGAGGCCGAGACUCGAGAGGUGGGUGACCAAGAAUAAAAUAAUCUUUCAUGUAUACUUGAAGGAUAACUAAUGGUUGGUAAAGGACUUGAAAAGUUGA